rnacentral:lncRNA from 1 species
CACUGCGACCCCGAGACCGGCUCCCUCCACUACGUCUCAGGAUCCGGUUCCCCUGCCGGACACAGAAUAUGUAUUCCAGGACAAGCGGAGUUUUCUGAGUCCCACCUCACGGAGGGGCGUGGUGCGCGGAAUCUCUAAAGGAAGACCUGGAAGGCUGCCGUCCGGCUUCCGCUUCCGGUUAGAGAGCAAGGGCUCUGGGCUUGAGCGCACUCACUGCGUGUGAGCACACAUGUUCUAGCCGGUCGUGAGGCUCUAACUGAACAUGAGAAAGGCCCCAAGCCUGUGGAGGGAGAGAAAGAAAGAGAGGAAAAAGGGAGGAAAAAAAAAAAGACAAACCGUGGUUCCAAGGCAGAGAGAGGGGAGAAAACUACACUUCUGAGGGCCGGGGGGGGGGGUGGGGAAAUGGAGAAAGAGAAGAAAAAAGAAAAGAAAAGAAGCCUUUCGGCUGGACUUACUAAAGCCGCCCUCGCCACGCCUCUCUGCCUCCUGCCCCUGCCUCACAGAGAUGACAGGAGGCUGAAGCGAGGAACUUAACCCAGCCUCUCGAAGUAGGCUCACCGCCUCCUGUUGCAGAAAAAGAGUUCAGGGUGCGGCAGCAGGCCCGGAAGGGUUCCUUAGGCAGGUGCGGGCCGCACUCGGAGAAGCCAGAUGCGGGUCAGGUGUGAAGUGGGCGCACCGGUGCCUCCCUGAAGGGGUGGAAGAGGCCCCUAGAGUGCCCCACACCCCCAGAAGGGCAUUAGCCCAUUUUACAGGGGCCAAGAUGGACAGGAGGAAUAAGCCAUACGCAUGUCGGGAGGAAUCUGCUGGAAGGUGGCGGCAGAGCGGAGUGAGCAUGCGUGGGGAGCUCCAGAGAAAGCCAGAGACUGGCAAGGACCCUGCGGAACUGGAUCUGGCUGGAAUGCAGACUCCUCUGUAAGCUUUGCAAUAAGACGAAAGUCAUCCCUGCAUGAAUUUUGCUGUUGAAGAGAACUACAGAGACUUCUACUUUUUUCAACUUGUUUUACAUUUCAAAGGUAAAUAAAAUCAGGACUGUAUUAAAAAUCAAGUUGCUCAUGGUGCACAGGUGCGGUGGGAGGACAGGGAACUGCGCCAACUGCAGAAGGUGUGCCUGUCGCAGGGAGCUUUCGUUACCCAGCUGUAGCCACCCACGCCAAACAGGAAGCAGGAAGUGGGCCCACAAUAAACAGACCUAACACUGUAGAGAAAUGAAAAUCUCACUUUUGAAGGUGAAAUCUCCUGAUUUUUUUUUUUAAAGUUGUUGACAAAUUCAAAACCCUGAACACACCCGACAGGCCAAAGCGAGCAUGCUGGGAGGUCCACAUUAGGGUAGGAAACCACCCGUCCAUGACUUGUAAUCUUCCAGCAUCCCUCACAUUUCUGUGUCAGCUGUGAGCUUCGCACCUCACUUCCCAUCUCCUGUUCACUAAAUCAGCCACCUUCGGCACGGUCAUUUCCUCUGCUCCUCGUGCUGACAGAGACCUUAAAGAAAGAUAAUAUUUUACUUUUGUUUUCCAGCUCCCAUUCACCAGUUUGUGCUUGUUCAGUCAGAAAUGGAGGACCUGUGAAGAACUAAAAAAUACUUUAAAACUCUCGUGCCAGCACUAUUUUUUAUUAAAUAAUUUUCCUUCUAUAGUGAACUAGAUAGAAAGAGGAUGUUCGGAGUCCAGGUUCACAAGGUUCAGGGGUUUUUGCUCAGCAGAGCCCAAAAAUAGAAUGAAAAAACACAAUUGGUAAAUCUUUAAUGCCCAUUAUUCUGCCUUCCCCUGACAAAUGCAGUAACUAGAACCUUUUCUCCUUGAUACUUCAGGCACAGUGCUGACUGGAAGAUUAAUUCUACUUUUAAAAAAAUAUAUAUAUGCAGGUGGUUCUAUUUCUUGAUUCUUUUUGAGCAUUUUUAAUGCAAGAAGGAAACAGUGACAUAAUACCCAAC